rnacentral:lncRNA from 1 species
CGCGAUCCUGGCUCACUACAACCUCUGCCUCCCGGGUUCAAGUGAUUCUCCUUCCUUAGCCUCCUGAGUAGCUGGAAUUAUAGGCACGUGCCACCACGCCUGGCUAAUUUUUUGUAUGUUUAGUAGAGACGGAAUUUCACCAUGUUGGCCAGGCUGGUCUCGAACUCCUGAUCUCAGGUGAUCCACCCGCCUUGACCUCCCAAAGUGCUGGGAUUACAGGAGUGAGCCACUGCACCUGGCUAGCUCCUUUGAAACGGGUAUGCAGGAGAUUAGAAGCCAGUGGGCAUGAGCGUGGCUGCCACCAGGUGAAUGCCUGUGCCCUGGCGUCCUGGGGCCCAGAGGACCGGGAGCUUCCAUCAAGAGGCUGCCUCCCAGCACCAAGGCCAGAGAGUGGCCAGGGGAGGCUAAGUACAGGGAUUUCUCAGAAUGGUGGAAGGAGCUCAGCCCAGCCUUGCCCAAGAUGUAUUGCAGGGGAAUCUGGACAUUUUAGCCAUACCAAGAAUCAUUAGAAGAUGCAAGCUGGAAAAAAGAAGGUCCCAGUUUUGGUUUUGAACCCUUCAUGUUGCAGCAAAUGUGAAUCUCCUACAGAUGGGUUUGGGGACUUACCUGUUCAAAUAGCAGCCCGGUGUCCUCUGUGGGUGGGGGGAGGUUUGUCUGUCCUUUCAUUCUAGUAAAUCCACCAUCCUCUGCACGAGAGCCAGGAGAAUCCACAUCACUUCAAAAGAGCCCCCAAAUCCUUACUACGUACUACAGCCUCCUUUCGAAUGUUCCUGGUUGAGAGGGAGAUCAAUUGCAUUAUUUACAAGUCAAAAAAUUUUGUAUCAAACUUCCUAUGAGCUUGGGCACUCAUGGCCUAUGGAGGCCCACCCAGACGCAGCCCCGCCAUCAUGCUUUUUCGUUGUUUUGUGGAUGUACCCAGGGCUAUUUACACACUCUUUCAUUAAAAGGCUUAUUUUUAUAUUUAAAAUGUUCUAAUCUUGGAGUGAAUUUUACUAAAUGCUAGUGUCCAAUCUGUUCCCCAACUGAAGUUAUCAGAGACAGAAUCCCUUUUAUAUUCAAGUGGAAAUUACUCAUUUUCUCUUGGGUUUUCAAUGUAUCGUCUGACUGUGAGGCUGGCAUUAUUUUCUCUGGGUUUGAAAGCUUCCUGAGAUGUCCUGUUUGUAAGCUCCUGUCCGCAUCACGUUAUCUGCAGGGAAUGUGCUCCCUCCAGGGAGUGUCCUCGGCACUGAUGUGGGAAGAGCCCCCUCUAUAAGUCAUCAUGGCAUUCGGUCAUGGGAGAGUUCCAUACGGGAAAGAUGGAGCAGAGGAAGACAAGGUGUUGAAACCAGUACAGCACCACCUGGGAUAUGGAUGAUCCAGAAUUACAGGACACGUCUUCAUUAAGCCUGGGUAAGAUCCCAGAGCUAUGACUCGAUCAAAAAAUGCCAGUUCGUGCCAAACAACCAAAGCCGGGAAAGAGGGAGAAGGUAUUGG